AUGUACAUGGAACUUGUCAGUUUUUUUUUUCUUGGUUUUGUUUUAUUUUGUUUCCUCCCAGCUGCAAACACUUUCAUCAGAAAAUACCAUUGUAUUAGCACAGAAACUGACAUCCAGUCUGACAAUAAUGUGAGCAAUUUGUCAAGCCCAGAGGUUCCUUGUCCAAUGAGAGGGAUUGGGAGGGAUUACACCCACCUGAGACAGUCAGCAGCACAGGGUCAAAAUGCUGGAGACACAGCAUGCCUCCAGAGCUUGCUUUCCCUGGCUGAAACCCGAGUGAGAGCAGUAUACAUAACCACACCCCGACUGAGUCCUCUGAACAGCUACACAAAAACAGCGGUGGUUAUUCACAGCAGGACCAGCAGGACCCUCCUACACACAACAGGCUGAGGCAG
rnacentral:lncRNA from 1 species